UUAUUUUUGGGGUAUUAUUGUGUUUAUUAGAAAAUUUAUUUUUAGUAGUUUGAGCGAAGGGUGAAGGGUUCCUAAAGAGGAUUAAGUACUGAGAAGGAAAGUUUAGUUAUUUAUUUAGAAUGUUAGGUUGGUUAGUACCUUUUGUAUUAGGGUUAAUUUAUGUGGUUUUGCUUUUGUUAUAUCUCGAUGAGUGUCGGGCUAUUUUUCCUUGGUAUAUUCUCGUUGUAUAGAGUUUAAUAGGGGAUUAUAGUUAUGAAAUAUUAUUCAAGUUUCUUUUUAUCUAGUUCUUUAAGAAAUUUAAUAGUUGGUAGUGUUAUUAGGACGAUAAAUAGGGAUUAGCUUAUUUAUUUUUUAUAUUUUAUUGUCGUUGGGGUUUUGUUUGUUAAGUUGAUAGUGCUUGUUUAGAUGGAGUUAUUAUUGAGCAGGUUAUUUAAAUUAUUUUUUUGGUUUUGUUUUUGUAUUAGGGUUAUGUUAUGAAUUUUUAGUGGUUUGUAAUAAUGAUUAUAUUAGUAAUAAUUUUUUAUUGGGGUGUUAUUUUAGUUUAUUCUGGUCUUUUUGUUAGAUGGGGGGUACUUUAAAUUAGGGUUGAUGAAUUAGGCAAGAGGAAUUUCUGACUGUUUAGCAAAGACAUUGUUUUUUGUUGUGGUAAAAAAUAAUUUCUGUCCACUGCUAUUAGGUGAAGGGCUGCAGUAUUUUGACUGUAUGAAGGUAGCAUAAUCAUUAGCUUCUUAAUUAGAAGCUGGUAUGAAGGUGAAACAGGGGUUUGCUGUAUUUUUUCUAUUUUUUGAAUUUAAUUUUCAUGUGAAAAAUCAUGAUUGGGUUAAUGGGACAAGAAGACCCUAAUAAGUUUUAUUUUUUUUAUUUAAUGCGUGCAUAGGUUUUUAUUUGUGUAAUUUAUUUAGGGGAGUUUGGCUGGGGCGGCAGUUUAUUUGACAUAGACUAAUUUUUAAUUUUUUGUGGCGAUAUUUGGACCUAGUUUGUUUAGAUUAGUGUGUAACUACUGUAGGGAUAACAGCGUGAUUUUUUUUGAGAGUUCUAAUUGACAAUAAAGUUUGCGACCUCGAUGUUGGAUUAAGAAGAGCAUUGGCGAAGUAGUUGAGGUUUUGGUC
rnacentral:rRNA from 1 species